AUGAACGCUGGCGGCGUGCCUAACACAUGCAAGUCGAGCGAACAGAUGAGGAGCUUGCUCCUCUGACGUUAGCGGCGGACGGGUGAGUAACACGUGGAUAACCUACCUAUAAGACUGGGAUAACUUCGGGAAACCGGAGCUAAUACCGGAUAAUAUAUUGAACCGCAUGGUUCAAUAGUGAAAGACGGUUUUGCUGUCACUUAUAGAUGGAUCCGCGCCGCAUUAGCUAGUUGGUAAGGUAACGGCUUACCAAGGCAACGAUGCGUAGCCGACCUGAGAGGGUGAUCGGCCACACUGGAACUGAGACACGGUCCAGACUCCUACGGGAGGCAGCAGUAGGGAAUCUUCCGCAAUGGGCGAAAGCCUGACGGAGCAACGCCGCGUGAGUGAUGAAGGUCUUCGGAUCGUAAAACUCUGUUAUUAGGGAAGAACAAAUGUGUAAGUAACUAUGCACGUCUUGACGGUACCUAAUCAGAAAGCCACGGCUAACUACGUG
rnacentral:rRNA from 1 species